rnacentral:pre_miRNA from 1 species
CAAGUACUCCUCCGUCCGAAAAUACUUGUCAUCGAAAUGGAUAGAAAAGAUGUAUCUAGAACUAAUAUACAUCUAGAUACAUCCCCUUUUAUUCAUUUUGAUGACAAGUAUUUCCGGACGGAGGGAGUACUAC